rnacentral:rRNA from 1 species
AUUGAACGCUGGCGGCAGGCCUAACACAUGCAAGUAGAACGAGUGGCGGACGGGUGAGUAAGGUCUGGGAAACUGCCUGACGGAGGGGGAUAACUACUGGAAACGGUAGCUAAUACCGCAUACCAUCAGAUGGGCCCAGAGGGGAUUAGCUAGUGGGGGGGGAAACGGCUCACAAAGGCGACGAUCCCUAGCCGGUCUGAGAGGAUGACCAGCCACACUGGAACUGAGACACGGUCCAGACUCCUACGGGAGGCACCAGUGGGGAAUAGUGCACAAUGGGCGAAAGCCUGAGGCAGCCAUGCCGCGUUUAUGAAGAAGGCCUUCGGGUUGGAAAGUACUUUCAGCGGGGAAGCGUUACCCGCAGAAGAAGCACCGGCUAACUCCGUGCCAGCAGCCGCGGUAAUUC